CCUACGGGAGGCAGCAGUGAGGAAUAUUGGUCAAUGGGCGCGAGCCUGAACCAGCCAAGUCGCGUGAGGGAAGACGGUCCUAUGGAUUGUAAACCUCUUUAGGCGGGGAGCAAUGCCGGGCACGCGUGCCCGGAGGGAGAGUACCCGCAGAAUAAGCAUCGGCUAACUCCGUGCCAGCAGCCGCGGUAAUACGGAGGAGGCGAGCGUUAUCCGGAUUUAUGGGGUUUAAAGGGUGCGUAGGCGGAGUUUUAAGUCAGCGGUAAAAUGUCCGGGCUCAACCCGGGCCGGCCGUUGAAACUGGGGAUCUUGAGUGCGCGAGAAGUAUGCGGAAUGCGUGGUGUAGCGGUGAAAUGCAUAGAUAUCACGCAGAACUCCGAUUGCGAAGGCAGCAUACCGGCGCCCGACUGACGCUGAGGCACGAAAGCGUGGGGAUCGAACAGGAUUAGAUACCCCAGUAGUC
rnacentral:rRNA from 1 species